UGAAAGGAGCAUACCACCCUGCAUCCCACUGCUUUCUUGCUUCUGAAGCUAAGCAGUGUUGGUCCUGGUUAGUCCCUGGAUGGGAGACCAGAUGCUGCUGGAAGUGGUGUUAG
rnacentral:rRNA from 1 species